GGCAAAGUAGCCAAGCGUCCAAGGCACCAGGUUCAGGUCCACCUGAAUUCCCCAUUCAGCACAAACGAAUGUUUCCUGGUCUGAGAAAUCAGGCGUGAGUUCGAAUCUCGUCUUUGUCA